rnacentral:rRNA from 1 species
UACAGAGGGUGCAAGCGUUGUUCGGAAUUACUGGGCGUAAAGGGCGUGUAGGCGGUUUAGCAAGUCAGAUGUGAAAUCCCAGGGCUUAACUCUGGAAGUGCAUUUGAAACUGCUAGGCUAGAGUAUAGUAGAGGUUGGCGGAAUACCCAGUGGAGAGGUGAAAUUCGUAGAUAUUGGGAAGAACACCGGUGGCGAAGGCGGCUCUCUGGACCGAGACUGACGCUGAGGCGCGAAAGCGUGGGGAGCAAACAGG